rnacentral:lncRNA from 1 species
GUGGUGACAGGACAGCUGCCAGGUAGAUGGCGGCUUUGGGGCCACCUGACUGGCUCUGACGAUAACUGGCUUUGACAGCUUUGAUUGGAAUGAAAAGAUUUAGGGUCCCUACUGGCUUUCUUAAAUUAAACCCUCCCUCCUGGAGUUAGCUUGUUUAUCAACAUUAUCUUAGAUUAGGGGACUUUCUUGUGAUCAGAGAGUUCUUUUACCACGAUGGUUCACAUGUUGGGGCCACUGGCAGGGUUUCUGAGAUCAGGGUCCUCGGAGCAGCACAGAGAGGUAAGGCUACACCCUGAUGUGCUUCUCAGGCAAUGCCUCCAAGGGGCAUGUUAACAGUCAGAUCUAGUUAGGAAAGAAAACAGGAAAAGGACCUGCAUUUUAACAGAAAUAAUUUAAUCUAGGCAAUUGAGUAAGCAGGUAUUAGAGGCUGAAAGGCAAAAAGGAAGUAUCAAGAUAAACACAGGGAUGGUAACUGCCAGAGGCAGCUCUACCUCUGGGGCUGAAGAACACAGGGAAGAUACUGGGGUUGCAAUAAUUUCAAAGCUUGGAAGAGGAGCCCUGCGGAGCUGGGACCUAGGCUUCUAAGGAGCGGCGACUGCACAGUAUCUGUGAGGCUGGAUUUGAGAGUCCAGAAAAUGUUGAAGACUGGAACCCAUUGCUAUUGAGGUAAAUAACAUCUUUGUGUGGCGUGUUGCAGCUGUCACAGCCGCCAGCAGACAGCCGACUCCCUCACCAGUAAACACCGCGGCUUAGGUGUUGCCCACCGGGCACCGGAAGGCGGCCCCCUUCUCGCUCUCCAGUGAAUGUUCCUAAAACAACUGCGGGGUCCAAGAGCACAGGGAGAACAGCGCCCCUGACGCAGGCUGCGCACCCGCCCGGAGGAGGCAGUGCGUCAGUCCUGAGGUCACCGCCACCCGCUCCCGGGGGACGGCCGCCUGGGCAGGUGAGGAGGCGACCACCUCCCAGACGCCUGCCGGAGCUGCGGCGCACCGACUCCCUGCUUCUCCGAGCGGCGAGCGCCACCUGGAGGCUCCCUCGAGAUCUGCAUUUAGGAGGCGACGGGUCCUUUCAUCGUUUUAUUCAUUAAACAUUUAUCGAGGCCUGGAGCGAUGGUUCAAGCCUGUAAUCCCAGCACUUUGGGAGACCGAGACGGGCGGAUCACUUGAGGUCAGGAGUUGGAGACCAGCCUGGCCAACAUGGCGAAACCCCAUCUCUACUAAAAAUACAAAAAUUAGCCGGGCACGGUGGCGCACACCUGUAAUCCCAGCUACUCAUGAUGAGGCUGAGGCACAAGAAUCGCUUGAACCCGAGAGGCGGAAGUUGCAGUGAGCGGAGAUGGAGCCACUGUGUGUUAGGCUCUGGCGACGUGGGGAGAAAUAAAGAUAAUGUCUUGUUUCCCAGGGCAUUAAUAGCGUGAUGGGGAAGACAGGCCAUCAACAAUGUGCAACACUAAGGGCUAGGAAAGAGGUGGAUACAAAGGAGGGAAUAAGGAAUGUGGUCAUUCCUUAAGGUGUUUAUUGGUGCCAGGUACUGUUCAAGGCACCAAAAAGAAUGGAACCAAACAGAGAUCCUGCUCCCAAAGAGCUCAUAGUGGAAGGACAGCCAGACAAGCUUAGAAUUACGGGACAGGCCUAAGAAGGAGCCAGACUGGGGACCAGAGGCGUCCGAAGGGAAGUCCAGGAAGUACCGCAGGAAAACGUGAUAUAUAUUAAAUCUUAAAGAAUGGGCAGGAUUUUGCCAGGCUUAGUGACAAGAUAUCUUCCGUAAAAUCGUGGAACUGAAAAGAAAGGAUAUAGGUUGAAGAAGGGCUAGUUCUGUGUCUGAAAUAGAAGGAACAUGAAAGAGAAGUGCUGGGACAUGGGGCAAAAAAGGGAGUUUGGGGCCAGAUCGUGAAAGCCUUGGUUUAACAGGUGAAAAGUUCAAAUUUGAUCCAGGUAGCUGGCAGAGUCAGAGGUUCUAAAGCAGAGACCUGCUCUAUAGAAAGCUCACCAUGAAGUACAGCAGUGAUGGUGGAUGAAGAUACCAACAGCUCAACCUCCUAUGUGCCAGGGAAAUGCUGAGCGCUUAGCACCUGAUAUUUAUCUUAAUUCUCUAAAUGGGCCUAUGGGGUAAGCAUAUUAUUAUCCCAAUUUUAUUGGAAUACUUCCCUGGUAGGGCCCCUAAACAGGUAGCCAUCAAAUGCCUGAUAAAUUCCAGCUAGCUUUAAAUUCUAGUCGCUACAGAGCAGAGCCCUUCCAUCGCACUGAGCUGAAGGAGCCAGAUGGGCAUUACAGACAAGACCCACUCAGUAGGUGAAAUCAACAGAGCCUAAUGACUAUCUAGAUCUGCAAGAUGAAGAAUAGGAAAGAGCUAAAGACAAGAUUAUGAUGAAAAGUUUGAUUUUGAAAUAAUACAUUUUUAAGAGCUGAGAAAAACCGUAUCCAUCAUCCAGAACAACCGCCUAUUCUACCCACACUCCCAGCACCACAUCAGUACACGUGUGCCUGUACUCACCAUUCUGCCUUGCCUCCUGCUGGCAUGGACGAGUGCUGCGUGUUCCUAAGUGCCACCUUCCGCUGUGCACUCGAUCCCAUCCUCGCGCCCAC